rnacentral:rRNA from 1 species
UACGGGAGGCAGCAGUGGGGAAUAUUGCACAAUGGGCGCAAGCCUGAUGCAGCCAUGCCGCGUGUAUGAAGAAGGCCUUCGGGUUGUAAAGUACUUUCAGUCGUGAGGAAGGUGUUAAGGUUAAUAACCUUAGCAAUUGACGUUAGCGACAGAAGAAGCACCGGCUAACUCCGUGCCAGCAGCCGCAGUAAUACGGAGGGUGCGAGCGUUAAUCGGAAUUACUGGGCGUAAAGGGCACGCAGGCGGUUAAUUAAGUUGGAUGUGAAAUCCCCGGGCUUAACCUGGGAAUGGCAUUCAAGACUGGUUAGCUAGAGUCUUGUAGAGGGGGUAGAAUUCCAUGUGUAGCGGUGAAAUGCGUAGAGAUGUGGAGGAAUACCGGUGGCGAAGGCGGCCCCCUGGGACAAAGACUGACGCUCAUGUGCGAAAGCGUGGGGAGCAAACAGGAUUAGAUACC